GACGAACGCUGGCGGCGUGCUUAACACAUGCAAGUCGAACGGAAAGGCCCUGCUUUUGUGGGGUUCUCGAGUGGCGAACGGGUGAGUAACACGUUAGUAACCUGCCCUUGACUUUGGGAUAACUUCAGGAAACUGGGGCUAAUACCGGAUAGGAGCUCCUGCUGCAUGGUGGGGGUUGGAAAGUUUCGGCGGUUGGGGAUGGACUCGCGGCUUAUCAGCUUGUUGGUGGGGUAGUGGCUUACCAAGGCUUUGACGGGUAGCCGGCCUGAGAGGGUGACCGGCCACAUUGGGACUGAGAUACGGCCCAGACUCCUACGGGAGGCAGCAGUGGGGAAUAUUGCACAAUGGGCGGAAGCCUGAUGCAGCAACGCCGCGUGCGGGAUGACGGCCUUCGGGUUGUAAACCGCUUUCGCCUGUGACGAAGCGUGAGUGACGGUAAUGGGUAAAGAAGCACCGGCUAACUACGUG
rnacentral:rRNA from 1 species